rnacentral:rRNA from 1 species
GACGUAGGGCGCGAGCGUUUGUCCGGAUUUAUUGGGCGUAAAGAGCUCGUAGGCGGCUUGUUGCGUCGACUGUGAAAACCCGCGGCUUAACUGCGGGCUUGCAGUUGAUACGGGCAGGCUAGAGUUCGGUAGGGGAGACUGGAAUUCCUGGUGUAGCGGUGAAAUGCGCAGAUAUCAGGAGGAACACCAAUGGCGAAGGCAGCUCGCUGGGACGGUACUGACGCUGAGGCGCGAAAGCGUGGGGAGCGAACAGG